UGUAGUUCAGUAAACUGAUAUAUAAAAAUGAGCUAUUCCUGGUUACCCUACCUCAGUUAGAGUAGAUUGAACUUCUUCUUCUUCACCGAGACCAGCACUUGUCAAUUUGCCAUCAUCAAAACAGCCUGCAGACACUUUCAUUGGUCCGUUAGAAAUUUUCAUUAGCAAGCGUAGUCUUCUUGGAGCAUUGCCCUGAUUUAAAAUGUUGUCUAAACUUGGUUUUUCCUGAGGCCCACGGGUCCUAAAGUUGAAUCCAGUUCCAAGAGUUUCAUAGUCUUCUAACGGUUGUUGCAGAGGCUGGUAGGCUGUAGUCCUCAUUCCAGUUACACCACCGUUAUUCACAUGAUUCCUCAGACUGGUUAAUUGUUGCAAAUUAUUAAAAUCACCAAUUGCAGAAUUAGUAGAUGAAGUUGCUUGGCCAACGCAAUAGUUUUCAGGACCACCAAUAUGUCCACCUAUGAAUACUGGAUCAUAUGGCGCAGUUUGGGUAAGGCUGGACUCUAAGGAAGUUAGCAUUUGCACGGAGUUCUUGUCAUCAACAAACCCACCAGGCCACCCAGGACCUCCAACGUCCGACUCAUUCUGGUAAAGAAUUUCAAAACAUAAAAAAUUAAGUUAGAAUCCAACUGUAAACUAAAUCUCAUUGCCUUCAAAGUGAAAAAAAAAUGCAAAAAAUGAGGCAGAAACUCAAACUCAAGCUUUAGAAAACCAAACAGGAAACAACUAAUGGCUACAUACAAAGGAAAUAAAUGCUAGAAGUUAUCUCUUUACCUGAACUGGCAACAUUUCAGUGUAUAUGCCAUUUUCUUUGACAUAGGAGGUUUCUGGUGGCAUUGCCUUCGAAAUGAAUGCAUUACCAGACAAGGGCAUUUCGGUUCCAGCAACCAAGUUUUUCCAACUGUUAGACUCUUCAGAGAAGUUAGCACGGUUAUUCAAGGCCUCAUCCAACAAUGGGAAAGAUAUAUCUUGUUUGCUAGUCCCAUCCUGGAAAUGGAAUCCAUUUUGAUCAUGGCCAAAGUCGCUUGCAUAAGGGGAAUCCAUAUAGGGCGGCAGAUCUUCAAAAAAAUGUGAGUUCAUUGGUGAGAAGACUUUAUAAUCAAUUUCAUCACAAUUUGAUUCAUACAAGUCUGAAUUGCUUCCCAAGAGCGGAUAUUUUUGUGUUAAUAAGCAAGAAAACAGUUCUUGUCAAGAGUCAUGGUAUAGUCAAUAUAAAACAAUGAUGCAUGCAACAAUGCUAGAAUAUAGAUAACUUGUUGACUUCUACCAAGGUUUCUUCAGCUGCGUGAUCUUCUGCAUCAGAAGUCAUAUGACUAUUGCAGCAGCUGUCACCCGUUAUUUGACCAUUUCGCAUGGAAGUAUCGGGAUUCUGAG
rnacentral:lncRNA from 1 species